GCUAGUGCCAAUAAGAAGAUCAAGGAGUUAGAGCGCCGCUAAGUUAUCUAGAUUAGACCUUGAGGCAAUGCAUCUUAGUUAUUUAUCUUUAGAUUCGGUUUAGAUUUUACUAUUACCAUCAGUUUGCUACUAUUAUCGUCAGUUUGCUACUAGUCAUUUGUAAUAAAUGCCUCAAGAUUAAUAAAGAAUAUUAUUAUUAUUAUGUCUUGUGUGUCUCUACUUUAUUUUUGUGCAAGAAAGCAGAAAAUAAGUAUGGGGGAGAUCCCUCGACAUGCCAAACACACUUUGACUACACCACUCUAUGAUUCAGGUACACACUCUGCACACUUUACACAUACAGAUAUCUUGGAUUAUGCAGAAUAUUGUUUCCGACAUGAUAAAUUAAAAAGAUUAAAUGUUUCUAAUCAUGAUUAAUCUCACUCUCUGAUAUUUUCUGAAACUUGCAAUUAUUAAAAAAAUCAUUUUAAAACCCUGUGUUACUUAAGUCAUUGUGGAAUGUCAGACGGUAGAGUAUGAGUUUCUUAUUCUUGAUAUCAUUGUUGCUUGGAGAAUUUAUUCAAAAAUUCUAGCUACCAUCCUCAGUGUUUUAUAUGCCUGAUAAAACUGAAAAUAUUAAUUAUGAUUAUAUCAGCUAUCUACUCUGUAUUGAGUUUGUUCAAAAUGAGUUAGACCCUUGUUGAGAGAUUUAUCAUGCUCCUAUGAUCAAGACAUUUAUUCAGAAAGAUUCACUCUUCUGAAGUAUUAUUGCAUUAGAGGCAUGGGCUAUGCAAAAAUAAAGAUAUUUCGAGGAAAUAAAAAGGAGAAAGUGCUCGAUAACCUCGCAGAAAAAAUGGACAAGUGUCCGGCAGUAGAAUUAGGGGUACCUCGGUAUCCACUUAAAAAAAGAGAAAAAGAAAGAAAAUGAUAGCCCAUGGUCCCUCUAAUAAGCAAUAUGCCAGCAAGAGUUGACAAGUUUUUAAUUUCCAAAGUCUUUGAUCUAAGAGUAUGACAUUCCUCUCCUCGGAUCCCAUUUUGAUCAGGCAAUAAAUGCAAGGCAAGUAUGCUUGAGAAUUUUUGCAAAUUAAAACAGCCUCAGUGAGAUAUAUAAAAGAUAAAUGAGUGAUCUGAAAGAACCUAUGAGGAUAAAGGUAUGCUAACCUUCUUUUCAAAAAUAUACAAAAACUCCAAG
rnacentral:lncRNA from 1 species